CCUACGGGAGGCAGCAGUAGGGAAUCUUCCGCAAUGGACGAAAGUCUGACGGAGCAACGCCGCGUGAACGAUGAAGGCCUUCGGGUCGUAAAGUUCUGUUGUUAGGGAAGAACAAGUGCUAGUUAAAUAAGCUGGCACCUUGACGGUACCUAACCAGAAAGCCACGGCUAACUACGUGCCAGCAGCCGCGGUAAUACGCAGGUGGCAAGCGUUGUCCGGAAUUAUUGGGCGUAAAGCGCGGGCAGGCGGUUUCUUAAGUCUGAUGUGAAAGCCCCCGGCUCAACCGGGGAGGGUCAUUGGAAACUGGGAAACUUGAGUGCAGAAGAGGAAAGUGGAAUUCCAAGUGUAGCGGUGAAAUGCGUAGAGAUUUGGAGGAACACCAGUGGCGAAGGCGACUUUCUGGUCUGUAACUGACGCUGAGGCGCGAAAGCGUGGGGAGCAAACAGGAUUAGAUACCCUGGUAGUCCACGCUGUAAACGAUGAGUGCUAAGUGUUAGAGGGUUUCCGCCCUUUAGUGCUGAAGUUAACGCAUUAAGCACUCCGCCUGGGGAUACGGUCGCAAGACUGAAACUUAAGGAAUUGACGG
rnacentral:rRNA from 1 species